GAUGCGCUUCUGACACUUGUGCGCAUACACUUCCUGUCUGCCUUGUCACAAAGGAUAUCUUGCUUGGGUCACCACCGAACUGCUCGAAAAGGACUAUGUCAUUGCUGCCUGGUUGGAGAAACAAUCGGGGAACGUGGUACCUAUUUAACAAGAAGGAUCUUCAGAGGAGAACGUAUAAAAUCAACAUAGAUGAGAUACUGGAACUGGUUCUUCAUGUUGUGAACAAAAAGGAUUGUUGAAAAAUAUUAGAGGAUUUUGUACGGGACUGUGGAAGUCUUACAAAGUCUGUGAUGGCUGCCCACACUUCUUGAGGCAUUUGCUCGAAGUGUAGGAUCCUCUAUAGUUGCAUGAGUUAACACAGCCGCUCUGUGGAGCUAUAUUUGUUGGCCAGUAUCGACCAAUGCUCUGGCCAUUCACCCAGGCUUCGCCUUUCCCCAAUCCCGUGAAGUCAAUGGCAACAGGAUCAUCACCUGCAGGGGCUGUGAAUUUUGUCUGUGUUUGGAGAACUGCAGUUAGUGCAUCGACCCAAGGAAACAACUCAAGGAAAUGGAUUAGCCAAACGAAUAUAAUGUAUAUAUCUUGUCUUUGAGCCCACUCUGGGUCCAUUUAAAUGUCAUAUAUGGGUUUCAUGGUCAGAUGAUCAUACUGACCUUGUACCAAAUCAGUGGUUGAUUGAUUGGAUAAGCAUUGGAUGAGACCCAUUCUGGUGAGGCCUCUGAAGGAUCAUACAGGUACUAGUGUAAUUGGUUUCUGCCAGGAGAUGAGUGAGCUGCUAGCACUACCUUGAGCGCUUCCUGUACCUGCUAUUUUACCAUUGACGUAGACCUGAAGAACAUGCCCAAGUGAGCUUACAAGCAGAUUGGAUUGGCUGCCAUUUAGAUAAGGUUCAUCACCUUUAACAGUAAUGCUGCACAGGUUACAUCAAUAUCACAAAUUGUGAGUAUUCUUUUGUCAGUGCACUCUACUAUAUGCAUAAUUACAAGAUGGCAUGCAAAUGUACCUUGUUGAGUACCAGAGGAAGUCACUGGCAUCUGCUGUGGUGUUUAUCUGCUCCA